UACAGAGGUGCCAAGCGUUAGGCGGAAUCACUGGGCUUAAAGCGCGUGUAGGUGGGUCGUUAAGUGUCCGCGUGAAAUCCCACGGCUCAACCGUGGAACUGCCGGGCAUACUGGCGAUCUUGAGGCAUUCAGGGGCGAGCGGAACAAAUGGUGGAGCGGUGAAAUGCGUAGAUAUCAUUUGGAGCGCCAAUGGUGAAAACAGCUCGCUGGGAAUGAUCUGACACUGAGACGCGAAAGCCAGGGGAGCGAACGGG
rnacentral:rRNA from 1 species